UACGUAGGGGGCGAGCGUUGUCCGGAAUUACUGGGCGUAAAGGGCGUGUAGGCGGUUUUGUAAGUCAGGUGUGAAACCUGUGGGCUCAACCCAUAGCAUGCACUUGAAACUGCAGGACUUGAGGGUAGGAGAGGAAAGUGGAAUUCCUAGUGUAGCGGUGAAAUGCGUAGAUAUUAGGAGGAACACCAGUGGCGAAGGCGACUUUCUGGCCUAACCCUGACGCUGAGGCGCGAAAGCGUGGGGAGCAAACAGGAUUAGAUACC
rnacentral:rRNA from 1 species